AGUGUUUGCAUUAUGGUAUUUUUCUGUAUUGAGUUUUGAGUUGUAACUAUACAGUUAAAAUAUGUAGGAAUGCAGUUUUGCUUACUCUGCUUGACAGAAGUCUAGUCUUUCCUGUGUCUUUGAAUACUUUCUAUAGGCCAGAAAAUAGAAUAUAAAUUAAAAAUUAUUUUAAUGUGUUCCUCUAAUGGACACGGACCUUGAAAGUAUGCAAUCUCUUUGAAAAAGGGGGUAAAGGAGAAAGAAGCUUUUGCCUUGCUGUACAUAAUCCUUUCAACUAGGGGUUGAACCUCACCAUUUUUUUUUUUUGCUCUCAGCCUAUCAUCAAUAAACACUGAUACUGUAUAAUUUUAAUACAACUGAUGCACUUUUGAAUGUCUUGAGUUACAUCAAUAUUACAACCCAUAAAUCAUUUUAGAAUAUUUGAUGCCAUUUUUGAAAUCCUGUUCAUUAAAUUAUUGAGGCAAAAUUUGUGUGCUUUCUCUGGGGUUUUUGAUCCAUUAUCUGUGUUGCUGGUUCUGAUACUUUCUGUAAGAAAAAGAAAUAUUUGAAUUGCAUGCAUGUGCAUAAUCUGGAACUUAAUGUUUUAAGUAAUACUUUUAUAAUUUUGCUGUACUGGGAAGGAUUUUGUUUUAGUGCAGUUCCUCUGCAGGAAUCCUUGUAUCAACUGAAACUUGCAGAUAGAACUCUUAAGGUUGGGUCCAAUAACAGUGUAGGUUUGGAAGGUGAUUUGCACAGCAGUAUGGCCAUUCCUCCUUCACACGUCCAUAUGGUCUUUCUAGAAACUAAUUAUAUAGAGAGUUGUAAUUCAGGGGACCUUUCCUUCCAGUAAAAGAGUAAAAUAUCUGUUGCAUAUUUAUGYAUGUUAAGGGGGGAGAUGAGCAGUCAUUCAUAUUGAAUCAGUUAUAUUUAAAUCUAAGAUGGAUGUUUUUAUUAACAAUAAUAUUCCCCAUAUAAAGUAUAUACUUAGUGGCAGCCAAAUCUGCAGUUCAGUGAAUGUUUGCAAAAGAGCAAGGAGUAGAGAAAAGCAGCAGCAAUACAUUUUCAUCUCUUGGAAAACUCAUUACACAAGUCAUAUCCAGUGCGCUCAGAAAUCAGCUUUGGUAGUAACCACUCUAAAGCAGUAUCUCCCUUUUUAAUGGGCAUAAUUUGUUGGUAUAAUAUAAAUAAGAUUUGAAAAUGUAAGUGUCCCUGGAGUUCUUGGGUCAGAUAUAAAUUCUUUUAUAAAUCGGAAUGUUAUGUUUGGAGUUAUUCCAUUUAGAACCUCCAAAUUUAUUAGACAAAAAAUUUAGGAAGCUUAGAAGAGCUCCAGUGGAAAAUUAUGCUCUCCUAGUAGGUAAGGCACUUUAAAUGAUUCAGACUUUGCAUUAUUGUAGUAAAUAUUCAGAAGGCUAUUUUUUUUUGUUUAAUAAAGUUAAUACUGCUUAAUGUGCUUACA
rnacentral:lncRNA from 1 species